UCCAAUAUCUCUUUGGUCUUCUCCCGAUUCAUCUACCUCUGCAAAAACAAUUUUUCUCAAUUUUUUUCAGCUUUCCUCCUUCUCUCCUUACUCACUAUAUAAGACGGUGGUUGAUUUACGAAAGAUUCCUCUCACUAAAACCACCAGAUCUCUUCAUGGCCUCCGGGGAAAACGAGUAGUUAGUAACGGCGUUCGGUUUUGGUUCCAUCACUUUACCUCUGUAUACAGUUUACUGUAAAAAUAAAUUAUUCCUUCAUAUUUGGUGAGUCACUGAACGCCUUGCUCCUGGUACAUAAAAAACAUUACUUAACUUUUGUACACUUUUCUUUGAAAAGUGUUCUUCGGAGUUGUCUGUGAUUUCUUUUUUUUUUGAUAUUUUUAUCAUAUUGUGAGAGAGAUGGAGGACUUCGAGUUCCAUCACUGGUGGAGCCUACGGUUAAAGUUGUUGGAGAUUUAAAAGGAGGAGAUGACGCUUUACAGGAGAGGAUUUGUCAUCUGUUUUUUCAGGGACCAACGGAAAAUGGGCAAAUUGAUGUUCACUUUCAGGAUCUGUAUAGCGCAAGAACAACGUUCGAGCAGGCCCGACUUCAUUUGGUCAUCACUUUUUCUUAUGCUAUGAGAAUUUCCAAGAUAUUUCCUUUGCUUCAAGCUGCGAGUCAACACCAUCACAUGUAGAAACUAAAUGAGGAUCAUGGUGUGUAUUGCCUCUCUCUCUCUCUCAAAUACUUGAAACAGAAAUCUUUAGCUCAUUCAAGUCGAAGGCUUUAUCUAGAGUUCCCUAAAUGAGCUUUUGCUACAAUAUAUGUACAUGUUUUGUUUUCUUACAGGUUAUAUCGUUUUUGUUAACGGCUUAUGCUCAAACAUCCAUGCGGCAGAUUUUCCUCUUCCAUGUUAUUCUCAUAAGAAAGAUGAAAUCUUCGAUUUCUAUUCGUCUGAAAGCCCAAAACAAACGUUGAUCUCGAAGUUUAUGUGCAGCAGAUGAGAAUCAGCAGGGACUAUCCAUAAAGAUAUAAGGAGAUGGGCAUUCAACUUCUUCCACGCUGAUCAACAAGAAACCAGGUUUCUAUGGAAGCAUAAACCCACGGAAACUGAUCACUUUAAGCUGAUAUGGAUGAAUGCAGACCUCUGUGUAAGAGGACAUAGCGUUUGAUGCGUUGUGUUAUCAGAUCUGGUUGAAGAUUUAGAGGAUGGGGAUCGUACUUCUCAGCCAAAGGACAAAGUUGUGACAUGGAACCUGCCAUUUCGAAGUGAUACCUCAUAUUUGGUCCAGUCUACAACAUAAGAGAAGUACGGAGUUAGGUACUCGAGGCUGAGAUACUUACAUGAUGCAAAAGAGGUUAUCAUAAGCCAUGGGGCGGAUCUCAUCUCAGGUAUUAUUCCCUGAUCUCCACUCAACGAAACCUGACGCGUAACAGAAGGAAUCAGAGGACAACAAGGCCAGUGGUGGAUCUGAUGAGAGAUUUUUCGUAUAGCCAUAUACAGAGCGGGUGGGAUAUGAACCAGUAGCUGUAAUGUUUUGCAUUAUCCUUGCAUUAUCAGUAAAUGACAAUUAGAAGUUACAGCUACUUGCCUUUUUCUUCUACGGUUAAGUUUAUCGUUGUUUUAACGUAAAAGAUAAAUCGGAAGAGUAGACGUGUUGAUAAUUUUGUAGUAGAGUCUUAGGUGUAUCUCUUUAGUUUGAGGGUUAGUUUCAGUAGAAUCUAUGUGCCAUCUUUUGGUUGUAUCUGGUGAAGCUGAAGUUCUUGGUGGGAAUAUGAAAAAGCAGAUAAUGGAUGAGUCUGA